rnacentral:misc_RNA from 1 species
GCCGGAGAGUUGAUUCUUAUAAAGAUGAAGAAGGGUGAGGCUUGUCAAGCCACCUAGUGACGCUGGAAUUGGGCCAGAAAGAUUGUUUCCGAAAAGGCUUAGCCAGUUGAGAGACUUCAAGUUUCCAAUUUCUGGGGGAAUAGAACCAGAAAGUUGAUUUUGGUACAUGAACAACUUAGUUAAUUUUGUCAAGUUCCCAAAAGUGAAAGGGAUAGGACCUUCGAGGCUGUUGGUAUCAAUGAAAAGUUCAACCAAAUUAGAGAGUUUUCCCAUUUCUGGUGGAAUAGUACCAAAAAAUUGGUUCUCAUAG